rnacentral:rRNA from 1 species
UCAAGCAAGGAAGGGCGCAGGGAGGAUGCCUGGCCACACUGUACUGAAGAAGGACGUGCCAAACAGCGAAAUGCGACGGUGAGCCGUAAGGAGGCAAAGACCCGUCGGUGUCCGAAUGGGGGAACCCGGCAGCCAGAAGGCUGUCAUCCCGAAAGGGAGAGGUACCCGGGGAACUGAAACAUCUAAGUACCCGGAGGAAAAGAAAACAACAGUGAUUCCCCGAGUAGCGGCGAGCGAAAGGGGAGAAAGCCCAAACCGGAGAGAUCCGGGGUAGUAGGACCGUCAUAAGAGUGGGAAAGACACAGCAGAAUGUACAGGGAAGUACAGCCAGAGAGAGUGAAAGCCUCGUAAGCGAAGUGUGUGACGCAUGAGACGGGAUCCUGAGUACGGCGGGACACGAGAAAUCUUGUCGGAAGCAGGCGGGACCAUCCGCCAAGGCAAAAUAUACAGUGUGAGCGAUAGAGAACGAGUACCGUGAGGGAAAGGUGAAAAGAACCGCGGGAGCGGAGUGAAAGAGAACCUGAAACCGUGUGCCUAAAAGAAGUCAGAGCCCGUCAAAGGGUGAUGGCGUGCCUUUUGUAGAAUGAACCGGCGAGUUGUUCCAUGGUGCGAGGUUAAGUCGGAAAGGACGGAGCCGAAGCGAAAGCGAGUCUUAAGAGGGCGUUAAGAGUAGUAUGGAGCAGACCCGAAACCGGGUGAUCUAGCCAUGGGCAGGUUGAAGCAGAAGUGAAAUUCUGUGGAGGACCGAACCGACUACCGUUGAAAAGUUAGCGGAUGACCUGUGGCUAGGGGAGAAAUUCCAAUCGAACCCGGAGAUAGCUGGUUCUCCCCGAAAUAGCUUUAGGGCUAGCGUCGGAGGAUGACAGACGGAGGUAGAGCACUGAACGCAUGAUGGCCCCAUCCCGGGGUACUGAAUGCGAUCAAACUGCGAAUGCCGACUGGGAGGAAUCCGGCAGUGAGACUGUGGGUGAUAAGGUCCAUGGUCGAGAGGGAAAGAGCCCAGACCGCCAGCAAAGGUCCCAAAAUACUGGCUAAGUGGAAAAGGAUGUGGGGACGCACGGACAGCUAGGAGGUUGGCUCAGAAGCAGCCAUCCUUGAAAGAGUGCGUAACAGCUCACUAGUCGAGUGGCCCUGCGCCGAAAAUGUACCGGGGCUUAAGCCAGGUACCGAAGCUGCGGAUGUAUAUGGAAGUAUAUGUGGUAGGGGAGCGUUGCAUGCAGGAAGAAGUAUGACGGAGACGGCAUAUGGACAGCAUGGAAGAGAGAAUGCCGGUGUGAGUAGCGAGAUGCAGGUGAGAAUCCUGCACACCGAAAGCCCAAGGAUUCCAGGGGAAGGUUCGUCCGCCCUGGGUAAGUCGGGACCUAACGUGAGGCCGAAAGGCGCAGCGGAUGGAAAGCAGGCGGAGAUUCCUGCACCCGUAUAUGGAGCGAAGGAGUGACGGAGAAGGCAGAUGCGACCCUCUUACUGGAUUGAGGGCCAAGCGAAGCAGGUGGUAUCCAGGCAAAUCCGGAUACGGAAACCAGAGCGUGACGGGUAAGCGAAAGCGGAAAGCGAGUAGCGAAGCGCAUCGAGUCAGCUUCCAGGAAAAGCUUCUAGUGGAAAUGCAUAUACGGCCCGUACCAAAACCGACACAGGUGGGCGCGCAGAGGAUGCGAAGGUGAGCGAGAGAACUGUUGCCAAGGAACUCGGCAAAAUGGCCCCGUACGUUCGCAAGAAGGGGCGCUCGAAAGAGCCGCAGUGAAAAGGCCCAAGCGACUGUUUAACUAAAACACAGCUCCCUGCGAAGCCGCAAGGCGAAGUAUAGGGGGUGACACCUGCCCGGUGCUGGAAGGUUAAGGCAAGCUGUGAACCGCGAGGUGAAGCAGUGACCCGAAGCCCCAGUGAACGGCGGCCGUAACUAUAACGGUCCUAAGGUAGCGAAAUUCCUUGUCAGGUAAG